rnacentral:hammerhead_ribozyme from 1 species
AUCCAGCUGACGAGCCCCAAAUAGGACGAAAUGUGUGCCCUGGAU